AGAGUUUGAUCAUGGCUCAGGAUGAACGCUAGCUACAGGCUUAACACAUGCAAGUCGAGGGGCAGCAUGGUCUUAGCUUGCUAAGGCCGAUGGCGACCGGCGCACGGGUGAGUAACACGUAUCCAACCUGCCGUCUACUCUUGGACAGCCUUCUGAAAGGAAGAUUAAUACAAGAUGGCAUCAUGAGUCCGCAUGUUCACAUGAUUAAAGGUAUUCCGGUAGACGAUGGGGAUGCGUUCCAUUAGAUAGUAGGCGGGGUAACGGCCCACCUAGUCUUCGAUGGGUAGGGGUUCUGAGAGGAAGGUCCCCCACAUUGGAACUGAGACACGGUCCAAACUCCUACGGGAGGCAGCAGUGAGGAAUAUUGGUCAAUGGGCGAGAGCCUGAACCAGCCAAGUAGCGUGAAGGAUGACUGCCCUAUGGGUUGUAAACUUCUUUUAUAAAGGAAUAAAGUCGGGUAUGGAUACCCGUUUGCAUGUACUUUAUGAAUAAGGAUCGGCUAACUCCGUGCCAGCAGCCGCGGUAAUACGGAGGAUCCGAGCGUUAUCCGGAUUUAUUGGGUUUAAAGGGAGCGUAGAUGGAUGUUUAAGUCAGUUGUGAAAGUUUGCGGCUCAACCGUAAAAUUGCAGUUGAUACUGGAUAUCUUGAGUGCAGUUGAGGCAGGCGGAAUUCGUGGUGUAGCGGUGAAAUGCUUAGAUAUCACGAAGAACUCCGAUUGCGAAGGCAGCCUGCUAAGCUGCAACUGACAUUGAGGCUCGAAAGUGUGGGUAUCAAACAGGAUUAGAUACCCUGGUAGUCCACACGGUAAACGAUGAAUACUCGCUGUUUGCGAUAUACUGCAAGCGGCCAAGCGAAAGCGUUAAGUAUUCCACCUGGGGAGUACGCCGGCAACGGUGAAACUCAAAGGAAUUGACGGGGGCCCGCACAAGCGGAGGAACAUGUGGUUUAAUUCGAUGAUACGCGAGGAACCUUACCCGGGCUUAAAUUGCAGAUGAAUUACGGUGAAAGCCGUAAGCCGCAAGGCAUCUGUGAAGGUGCUGCAUGGUUGUCGUCAGCUCGUGCCGUGAGGUGUCGGCUUAAGUGCCAUAACGAGCGCAACCCUUGUUGUCAGUUACUAACAGGUUCCGCUGAGGACUCUGACAAGACUGCCAUCGUAAGAUGUGAGGAAGGUGGGGAUGACGUCAAAUCAGCACGGCCCUUACGUCCGGGGCUACACACGUGUUACAAUGGGGGGUACAGAGGGCCGCUACCACGCGAGUGGAUGCCAAUCCCAAAAACCUCUCUCAGUUCGGACUGGAGUCUGCAACCCGACUCCACGAAGCUGGAUUCGCUAGUAAUCGCGCAUCAGCCACGGCGCGGUGAAUACGUUCCCGGGCCUUGUACACACCGCCCGU
rnacentral:rRNA from 1 species